ACGCUCGACACCUACGGGAGCAGCAGUGGGGAAUAUUGCACAAUGGGGGAAACCCUGAUGCAGCGACGCCGCGUGAGUGAAGAAGUAUUUCGGUAUGUAAAGCUCUAUCAGCAGGGAAGAAGAUGACGGUACCUGAGUAAGAAGCCCCGGCUAACUACGUGACAGCAGCCGCGGUAAUCUGAGCGGGCUGGCAAGGC
rnacentral:rRNA from 1 species